GACGAACGCUGGCGGCGUGCUUAACGCAUGCAAGUCGAACGGAAAGGCCCUGCUUUUGUGGGGUGCUCGAGUGGCGAACGGGUGAGUAACACGUGAGUAACCUGCCCUUGACUUUGGGAUAACUUCAGGAAACUGGGGCUAAUACCGGAUAGGAGCUCCUGCUGCAUGGUGGGGGUUGGAAAGUUUCGGCGGUUGGGGAUGGACUCGCGGCUUAUCAGCUUGUUGGUGGGGUAGUGGCUUACCAAGGCUUUGACGGGUAGCCGGCCUGAGAGGGUGACCGGCCACAUUGGGACUGAGAUACGGCCCAGACUCCUACGGGAGGCAGCAGUGGGGAAUAUUGCACAAUGGGCGGAAGCCUGAUGCAGCAACGCCGCGCGCGGGAUGACGGCCUUCGGGUUGUAAACCGCUUUCGCCUGUGACGAAGCGUGAGUGACGGUAAUGGGUAAAGAAGCACCGGCUAACUACGUG
rnacentral:rRNA from 1 species